ACGUAGGGGGCAAGCGUUAUCAGGAUUUACUGGGUGUAAAGGGAGCGUAGGUGGUUUGGAAAGUCAGAUGUGAAAGCACGGGGCUCAAUAACGGGAUCGUAUGUGAACUUAUCAGACUAGAGAGCAGAAGAGGUAAGUGGAAUUCCAAGUGUAGCGGGGAAAUGCGUAGAGAUUAGGAGGAACACCAAUGGCGAAGGCGACUUGCUGGACUGUAACUGACGCUGAGGCUCGAAAGCGUGGGGUGGGAACAG
rnacentral:rRNA from 1 species